GCCUGGGUGGCUCAGUCAGUUAAGCAUCCGACUUUGGCUCAGGUCAUGACCUCACUGUUUGUGGGUUUGAGCCCCGUUUCAGGCU
rnacentral:tRNA from 1 species